AGAAAGGAAACGGCUCUCCUCCUCCCCUCCUCAUCUGCACACUCACUUGUGGGACUCUCAGACUGCUGGUGGGAGUCACAAAAAACACUCCACGCGCUUCAGGAUCAGGUAAUAUUCCUAGAAACGCAGAGGAACCCGUGCAGGACCAACUGACUGACGGUCACUGUGCAGCAUCUUGUGUCACCUUUCCAUGGGACUGUGGGAGCCUGCGCUGUCUGUGGGGCUGGAUGGGACAGGAUGCCACGUGGGACCAUGCUGUAGUCUGAACAGCACAGCAGCAAUGAAAGCCAAAUGUGUACCUUUCUUUACACACUAGAUUUUACAGGGGCGACUGAACAUAGUAAUGGAAAUUACCAAUUACAAAAAGUUUGACCAUGCUGUCUUCCUUUCAGCUGCAUCACUUUCUGUCACUCCUUGUUAUCACAGGAAUGUGAGUCUUGGGAGCAAGCUGUCAGCAGAGUAAGUAGCAGCCCUGGCAGGUUUGCAAAUGAGGGAAUUUCCCCUUCUGAGCCAGCAGGAUCAAGUACUACGCUUCUCCUGCUGGAUUGUUGCUGACUUUACAAUGCAAGAAAGCCCAUCAGGUCAAAACAUGUGCUCGGUAGUUGCUGCCCUAAACAGGAAAACUUUUUGCUCCUGUAAAACACAGUUUUGCUUUGUUCCAUAUGAUAGGUGUACUCCAGGAGAUGCAAAAAAAUAUAUAUAUCUGCAGGGUUCAUUUACAUAGCUAUACAAGAAUGGUUUUCUGGUUUUCAGUCACGGGACUGAAGCAACCUUGUUCAAAUACAGCCAACAAGCUAAGUAGGAGCAUGCUAAUGCAUGCACAGACUUCAUUGUAAUAGUUUCUUACUAUCACCUUCUCUGUUUGCUCCUUUUGAUGCACACACAGUGGAGAGAAAGAAAUGAGCGUUUCAAAUAUAGAAAAGCACGUUAAAAUUCCACAGAUCUCUCAGCAGCCUGAGGUGGUAUGCUGGGUUUCUCUGGCUUUUGUUUUGUUCUUUGGCUUUGCAAUGUACAGGAUCACUGUCAUGAAAUGACCAUAUGCACACAUGGAAAGCUGUUUGAGUAAUACAGUAUUUAGCUUGCACAGAAGAGAAAAAUAGACUAGGUUGUCAGCAUGUGAAAGUCAUUGGCAUAUUUUGCCUACAGAAACAACAUCUAUUGCUUAAAAUUGAAUAUUAUAAUUAUACAUCUUUGAUGCAUCCCUGUGAUUAUCUGAAGUAAAAUCCUUUUGAGUACAGCACAGUAUAUACAGAGCUUAAAAGGAUCAGUGUUCCAAUUUAAGACCUUCCCACUUCCCUUUUUAAAUAUUACCUUUCUUUUUUCAGCAUUUUAGAAGUUUUCCAUACUUUGCUCUGACCUGAAACUCAGAGUUUUGAGGCUGAUGAUUUAAAAAAUAAUUCUAAUGGUAGAAGUGGAAGAAAGGAACUUAAGCAAGUGGAUUCUCCUCAAAAGGCAUUCAUUAAAGCUCUUACUCCAUUCUGCCAUUUUGUCGGCUGUUAAAAGUUAAUUUAAACCAUUCAAGAUAUUUUUCAUAAAGUGUUUAAGUUUUGUGGGCUAUUUAAUAAAUAAAUUUGCCUACACAGCAGUCUUCAGAACCCUAGGCAUAAUAGGAUUUAUGGUAGAUGUACCUUGCAACUUCUCACGGACCAUUGCGUAGACUGGCAGAAGAUUGGCUCUACCAAGGGUCUGAAAUCAAGCUGGCACAACAUGCCUGUACAAUAUUAUCAGGGAGCACUACAGGACACAACUCAGAAACUUUACAGGUUUAGCUAUUUCAGAGAGAUGAGAUUCACAAAUGUGACAUUUAAUCUAAUUUGGAUUAAUAGCUGAAUAUCGGCAGAAACUGACUGAUGGCAGCAACUUUGUGACGUUACAAGGCUGAGGACAACAGACAGCAAACAGAAUUCUACUUCUUCCUCAUCCUCCUAGACCAGAAACAUCAGACAAAAAUAGCUGGAUUCUGGACUGUCUGAGCCUCUUGGGUGCCUUUCCUGGUCAAUUCAAAAUAAGGUCGGGGUAACAAAGGUGUGGACAACUGUAGCGAUGUCUGCAUCUGAGCAAGAUCAGUUUUUUGACAGGCUGGAGAUAAUACGCGUGGCUCUUAGCUGUGCGAUGUCUGGUAGAAUUUCAUGGGACUCCAAUUUCAGUCCAUUUUGAUGACAGGAAGGCAGGCACUUUCAAUAGAAAGAGUGCUCAUGGAUUUUAUUGGGUCAUCCAAAUGCUUCCAGCUCCCAGCUGUCAUCAGCUCCUCUUUAAUCACGUAGUUCUCACUUUAUCUCCCUGCCUGUGACAGACCUUGAGAGAAAAAAGAUACAGAUUUUCUGAUGAAAAGGAGACUCAGGGCCUCAUUUACGUUUCCAGAUGCUUUUAGUUUUACUUACAUGAACGAAUCCCACUGAAGUUAAGUUAAUAUAGAUGUUAAGUUAAGUUAAUAGAGAUUAAAGUUAAAUAGAUGUUUGCGUAUUUACAUCCUAAAUUGAUAUUUAAUUUUAAUUUCAAAUACAUAUUAUAAGGCCUUAUAUACUAUAAGCAGUGGAUAUUCCACAAUUAUACGACAGCAGUUCAAAAACAGUGAGUUUGCACAAGAAUGAACGCCUGUGUGUUUAAGAAAGCCCAGCUUCUUGACGGUAUUUGCUGAGACAGACCUGAUCUCUGAAACUUUCAGCAAGGUUGUAAAAAGUAAUUUGUCAGUCUUUUAUAAGGAGCUAUUUAAUUGGAUAAUUUUAUUGUUGAGGUGUAUCAUUGCCAAAACGUUGCUACCUAUGUAACAGCUUCUUUGCCAAAGAGAUCCUCACCAAGGCUUUUUUUUUUUCAAUUAAUUAAAUUUGACUUUUUUGCUUGUGGCAAUCAUUUACAAUUCUCAUGUCAUAUUUGGAGAACUCAUCAGCUCAGAAAAGGUUGAGUAAGGAAUUGGCAAAAUCUUGCUUGUACCUUGUUAAUGAAAACACAGUUUAAAACAUUGCUGUUUGUACCGACGGGAAAAUAUUGCUUUAUUUGUUUCAAGUCACACUGUGCUUAAUCUGUCCUAAAUAUUUUCAGUCUCCUAAUAAGUCACUUCAAGUUGACGCAAAGCUCUGUUCCCAACCUGUUGAAGUAGCUUUUACGUUUUGUAGAAGGCCCCGUAAAAUGGAUCACGCUCUGUACUGUGUGCCUUGCAACACCUGAACAAAACAGAGUGAGUGGAAAACAAAAGCUCAGUUUUGACUCUUCCUCCACUGGCUCAGGUUAGUUCCAGCCAGAUCCGUAGCGUUACUUUAUAUGCAGGGUUUUUUUUUGUGUGUGUGAUCAGUGCCAAUUCUGUUGGGCAUAUACAGGAUGCAUAGGGAUUAAAAAAAAAAAAAAUCUAGCUGCCAACAAGAAAAAGUGCUUUGUAACCACAGUUUGGAAGGGAAACAAUUUUUUAAGAUACAGAUCAAACUGUGUUUAUAGACUCAACUAUUGGCAGCUUUUCACUGAGCUACUUCCUGUAUGCCUAUUGCAUAGAGGAGUAAUCUAAAUGCUUAAACUAACAUUUAAAAACCUACUGAACAUGAAUAAAUGAAUGAAUAAAAUACUGUGUGAAGCAGCAUGGAAGAGAAAAUGGUGUUGAAUUUUCUUUCAUGCCCAUAGAUAAUUCUCAUGGGAGAAUACUGAGGAUGCAGUACUGCAAACUGAAUGUAAGUAGUUCCUUACUCUGGCUAGUACUUCCUAGUAAUAUUGUUUUCAUUGCUAAAAGAGAAUAUCCAAGUAAAAAAAAAAUCCAGAAAUGACAUCUAAAAGAGAGGAAUUUGCUAAAAGCUAAGUACAGUCACUUUAAGUACAGUAAAAGGUGAUUAUUAGGAAAGUAAUUCAGACAACCUAAUGCACAGGUAGACACAAAGGAAUCUGAUUUCCCAUAACAACAUGCUGGAAAUCUGUAAGCGUGACAGUCACAGUCAGGGUAGGUUUAGACUUCUUUGGUUUGCUCAGUUUGAAAUGGUUGUGUUAACUUUUUCUUUCAGAAGUAGUACAGAGCUCACCUAUGAGCUGUUUUGCAUCUUUCUAGUGCUUUUUAAUAGGGCAGAUCCCUUCUUCUAGAUUUCAGAUGCUUGCCCUUUGCUUUAGACAUGCAUUUGCUGGUGGUGCAGCUGACCUACCAAUAGCAUCUCAGCAAGGUCAGCGCAGUCAGGCCAUGGUGGCUAUGUGGGAUUUUACCAGAGAAAACACCAGCAUUCUGCUUGAUUGGAGUUUAUUCUUUAUCUCCAUGCUGUAUCUCAGCUAGGGAGGACAGCAGCUCCAGUAUGAGGGAAAGUUUAAAGUCAGAGAGCAACUUAGGCCGGACUUCUGGCGGUCAGCUAUCACGCCUGACUCGAGCAGCAGCUUAGGUGGGGUCGCUUAGCUGAUGUCCGAAUAUCCCCGAGAGGGGGAAUCCACAACCCCUCUGGGCAGCCUGCUGUCUGACUGAGAGAUGAAUAAAAAAGAGUAUCACUCAAAAAUAUUUCUAUUUUUCUUUGACUAUAACCUUACAAAUUAGGAUCACAGUUAUGAAAAGUGUAGUUAUAGACUUAACUUUAUAUAUCGUUACCUGAAAGUCAAAGUAGGGGAUGAAGGCUUAACCAUUCAAACAGAUGAGGUAUUUAGAUGAGGCAGCGCUCGACUUUACCUUUAUUUGGGUCCUGAGCAUUUGUAAUACAACAAUAUAAUUUUGAAUUAACCUGCUGGAGAUAGAGGCAUUACUUAUACACAAUAAGUGCAUUGUCAGCAAAGUACUGACAGUUUUGUUUUUAUGCGUUUCUUCCAUGCUGCUUUGGAGCUGAAGUAAGUUGGGAUCGAAAUGCAGCGGUCGCAGCUCAGCCCGCAGGGGAGAAGCGCACAGCUGCUGUGACACGGUGGUCGCAGGCAGCCGGACCCCAGUGCCUGCAGGGACAGCGGCCGGGCAUCCCGUUUGGGAUUUUCAGCUCAUUAGCUGUACAGCAAUGAGCGUCGCAGUCCUCAGCUGCUGCGGUCUCAUCUUUCACCUCCCCCAACUGAAAGCAGUCUGGAAUGGUUUUGCAUCCUGUUCCAGAGCUUGUACACAGAUGAUUUCCCAAUGUGUAUCCUUAAAGGAAUGCAAAUAUUUUUAAAAGAUAGCAUGGCAAAAUGCCAAAUCAAGUUGCAGACAUGUGACUCGAUAGCUAUUGUGGGGUGUGUUUUAGAUGGAGAGAAAACACAUCAAAUACUCUGUAAUUUUUUUUUACAUUGUGUAUGUACAAUGUUACUUGCUUAUUACUGCUGCAAUUGUUUUCACAUAAAAAGAAUCAAAAUUUUAAUCUCAUUUUGUUCUCUGGAAAGAUUUAGUUUCAAAUGAGCCAAUGA